GAAGAUAGUGGCGGACGGGUGAGUAACACGUGGGUAACCUGCCCAUAAGAGGGGGAUAACAUCCGGAAACGGGUGCUAAUACCGCAUAGUUUUCUUGAUCGCAUGAUUGAGAAAGGAAAGACGGCCUUUGUGCUGUCGCUUAUGGAUGGACCCGCGGCGUAUUAGUUAGUUGGUGAGGUAAUGGCUCACCAAGACGAUGAUACGUAGCCGACCUGAGAGGGUGAUCGGCCACAUUGGGACUGAGACACGGCCCAAACUCCUACGGGAGGCAGCAGUAGGGAAUCUUCCGCAAUGGACGAAAGUCUGACGGAGCAACGCCGCGUGAGUGAAGAAGGUUUUCGGAUCGUAAAACUCUGUUGUCAGAGAAGAACAAGUCGGAGAGUAACUGCUCCGGCCUUGACGGUAUCUGACCAGAAAGCCACGGCUAACUACGUGCCAGCAGCCGCGGUAAUACGUAGGUGGCAAGCGUUGUCCGGAUUUAUUGGGCGUAAAGCGAGCGCAGGCGGUUCCUUAAGUCUGAUGUGAAAGCCCACGGCUCAACCGUGGAAGGUCAUUGGAAACUGGGGAACUUGAGUGCAGAAGAGGAGAGUGGAAUUCCAUGUGUAGCGGUGAAAUGCGUAGAUAUAUGGAGGAACACCAGUGGCGAAGGCGACUCUCUGGUCUGUAACUGACGCUGAGGCUCGAAAGCGUGGGGAGCAAACAGGAUUAGAUACCCUGGUAGUCCACGCCGUAAACGAUGAGUGCUAAGUGUUGGAGGGUUUCCACCCUUCAGUGCUGCAGC
rnacentral:rRNA from 1 species